GCACUGCUGAGGAGUCCCACAACAGGACGAAACGGAUGUUCAGUGC
rfam:Schistosoma haematobium scaffold435_2, whole genome shotgun sequence.